UGAUCUUUGCAUACUUUGCUCACCUAUAUAAACUCCCACUUAUUUUUUCUCUCUCCUCGACAUAACAUAACACCGUCGCUCCCAAAAGAAAAAAACCCUCUCCCGCUACUGACCUCUCAAAAAUUGAUUCUGCGUCAAUCUCUCUCUCUCUCUCUCUCUCUCUCUCUCGCUUCCUAGCUCUCCCGAUUUCACGUCUCUCCCUGCUCUGCUCCUUAACCAUCUCAGUACCACCAUCGCUAGUAGCAAACGACAAUCAGGUAUGAAUCUAGGGUUUAUAUUUGUUCCAAUUUUGUGAAUCUCAUAAAAUCUCAGUCCUGACACAAACAAAACAGACCAAACUUCUCUCCUCUCCUAAUUUGGGCCCUAAAUUUGAACAAAUCCAGCCCCAAUUUUGACCUAUUUUCUUAUUUUUUUUAUGAAUCAGGUAUGAAUCUAGGGUUAUUGCGUGCUCACAGCAGCUGCACUUUAAUUUAAGUGUUGAUUUGGGUUAAAUAUAACAUUAAGAAAGAGGAACUAGUGUACUACUGCAAACAAGCCUUAAGAAAGUAACUGGGCUAGCUCUAUUUUAUGAAAAAUAGAACCGACUAGGCUAGCUGUAUUUCAUAUGAGUGUAAAUUCUACAGCAUACUUGGAGGAAGUAUAAUAUAUAUGAAUCAUACCAUUACGCAGAACAACUAUUUUAAGUACUAGCUAGCUAGUAGUUUGAUCACUAAGCUAAUACAGAGGUUUUAUAUAUAUAUAUAUAUAUUGCAACACGAUGGUUGAUGUUUAUGUGAAAGGUGGGGUUUUUGGUUAUGCUUGUCAAGUGUUUGAUGAAAUGCCUAACAUAGAUUUGGUUUGUUGGACAUCAAUGAUUUCUGGUUAUGUUUAUUAAAGAAAUGUUUUAUGUGCUUUUAUAUUGUUCAAUGCAUGUUUGAACCCAAUUACGUGACGGUGAUGAAGACAACUUCUUUAAAAUGUUUUUAAAAUGGGCUUUUGAUUAAUCAGUCUGUACACAAUUCAGUUUUGAAAAUGUAUUCUAGUAUUGAUGGUGUUGAUGAUGCAGAAAUUCUCUUUGGAGAAUUUGCCAAAAAAGAUGUGUUUAGUCUACUAUUGGCCAUAUGAACUGCAUUUCAAUUCUUCUAUGUGCAACUUUUCUAAAUCAAUUCUUUAUCGUUAGGUAGUAAUUUUUGUGAAUUGCUUAUCUUCAUCAUAUGCUUUUUUUAAUUCAGUAACAUAACAACGAAAAAAUCAACUAAAAUCAAUUAGUCCAUGUUCCUAGCCUCUUAAUUUGCAAGGAUGAUUUCCUGUUUUGUAUGAGCAGCUAUGAACGCACAUUGUGAUUGUGAGAGGCAACCUCAACUUAAAAUAGCAUGGACCGAUUCAAACCCAGGAAGAAGGUUUUUAUCAUGUCCGAAUUAUGAAAAAGUAAGUGUGUUAGGGUUUCAAUUUUUUUAUAUAUCUCCCCCAUUCUAUUUACUUGGACAUAAAAUUGAUGUCUUCUUUCUUUAUAGAGGAAUGCUUGUCAAUUUUUUGCUUGGUAUUAUCCUCCAAUGUGUGACAGAUCAAGACAAAUAAUCUCUGGAUUACUUCGAAAGAUUAACGGGAUGGAGCAAGAGUUGGAAAAAAUGCGUGUAAUAGGCAAAAUGCGAAGAAUAAAAUUUAUUACUGCACUUGUUUGUUCUUGGUUAUUGAUUUUAAUCUUGUUAUUGUAGAUGGAGUAAAUAUUGUCAUUUGGGUUGAUUAAACUAGUAUAGUUUGUUGUAACCUUAUCCAAGAUGGAGUAAAUAUUGUUAUUUGGGUUAACUUUUUGAAUCUGUAAGGAUUGUUGUCUUUGUUGUCUUUGUGUUGUUAGAAGUGGUGAUAUUAUCAUUAACAUCAAUUCUUG
rnacentral:lncRNA from 1 species